UACAGAGGUCCCGAGCGUUGUUCGGAUUCAUUGGGCGUAAAGGGUGCGUAGGCGGUGUCGUAAGUCGAAUGUGAAAUCUCGGAGCUCAACUCCGAAACUGCAUUCGAUACUGCGGUGCUAGAGGACUGUAGAGGAGAAUGGAAUUCACGGUGUAGCAGUGAAAUGCGUAGAUAUCGUGAGGAAGACCAGCGGCGAAGGCGAUUCUCUGGGCAGUUCCUGACGCUGAGGCACGAAGGCCAGGGGAGCAAACGGG
rnacentral:rRNA from 1 species